AGGUGAGAUGGUUACUAAGUGACCUCAGGUUGGCCGAACUCUUUUAUGCCCAGCCCUGUAUACAUCUUAUUUUAUCCAGUCUUCCCACUCACCCUUUGAGAAACAGAGGAAGAUUCCAAUGACAGAAGGAAGAGGACAUCUCUAUACUUCUGCCCAUUCAAGCUGUGUUCGGAAUGUUGUCUUCAUCUCAUUUUAUAGUUGUAAAGAGGAAAAGUAGCCUCAGGCUAUACAACUCAAGGUCUCUGCCCCAACCUGGCCUCCACCUGUACCACCAAAUCAGACACCUUUUUUAUAGGUGAUCAUGAUUUUUUUUUGCCAGUAUAUCUACUUAUCAUUCCCAUCAACAUGCUGG
rnacentral:lncRNA from 1 species